UGGAAGUGACGAAAGCACGGCCAACUCAAUUGCGAUAGAAAAAGUGCUCGGGAAAAGCAAAGGGCUUGGAAUUAAGAUUGCAACCACCACAAAGAGUUCAAAGUCGAGAUUUUCUUCAAUUCCGCCGGAAGUGCAAAUGGAAAUGAAUUCAAUGAAAGAGCAAAUGCUACUUAAAGAUGAAAAAAUGGAAAGAUUGGAAGCGGAAUUGAAAGAAACCCGAGAAAUUGUGAACACCUUGGUCGGCCGUUUUGGACUACAAGCCUCGACAUCGACUCCUUCCAAUGAUGGUGGAGUAUAAAAAAGGGAUGAACUUUGUUUGGUUUUUGAAUUAAACUU
rnacentral:lncRNA from 1 species